CAAUUUUGAUGUUAUUUCCUUAUUGGCUCUUGUUGGAGCUAUGUAAUAGGAAAUGUCACAAGUUUCUAUCAGAAAGCAUAGCAAUGAUAUGAUGUUUACAAUUUUUAUGCAUGCCAACUUAUUUAAUGAUGAGGGAAAUCUAAUAGCUGUACCAAUCUACCACUGCUUUAGUCUUUAUGUAUCAUACAAUUUUUAAAUCAGCAAUAAGUAAUUCCUACGCCAGACAUUCAAUCAUUCAAACUUGCAACAAGAAAUUUCCUGAUAAUGAUCUUGGACUCGUGGUUCUAUCAAGUAUCGACAUUAUAUUGGGCUUGGUAGCUAAGUUUGUUAUGAAUAGAGUGGAGAGUACGAGUAGCGCAAAUUAGAAAUUUGUUUCAUUUUUAAUCUUUAAGAUAGCCUUAUGAUGCAGAAAAAUUGCAAGAAGAUUGAUAGAUGGUUUUUCAAUGCUUAAGAGAUGGUUUAAGAGCUAAAGGAUUUUAAGCUUACAGGCCUAGGUUAAAUACAACCUGGGGACAGUUUUAUCAUAAAUAUGGUCCAACUGCAUUAUGGUCCUCUGUUAUUUAUGGUACCUAGAGGAGAAUAUAAAUGGAUCAGAGUCCAGACAACGUUAGUAAAAGUUUCCCUUGUAGGACCUGCAGUUGCAGAAGACCGAAGAUUCAGUGCAUCUUGACAGCUAUUCCAAGAAAAAGGCGUGAUCUCGUUUCGUCAUCAGUGUUUUAAAUGAUCAAUUAAUCGUGCCAAUUUCAUCCAUGAUGUAUUCUCCGCUUCAAUUUUCCCAGACCAAAUUGCUUGUUGUGAUAUCUGAUAUGCUACUGGUAAGCUAAAGCGUACUGCAAUAUAUGUUUUACCAAGUGUCUGGAAUCUAAAAUUUUCAUAACCCUGAAAGCUUUGGAUAACCACAUGGGACUCUGUGAUGCUGACAAUU